rnacentral:misc_RNA from 1 species
GAUGAAGAACGUAGCGAAAUGCGAUAAGUAAUGUGAAUUGCAGAAUUCAGUGAAUCAUCGAAUCUUUGAACGCACAUUGCGCCCGCCAGUAUUCUGGCGGGCUUGCCUGUUCGAGCGUCAUUUCAACCAUCAAGCCCUGCUUGCGUUGGGGUCCUGCGGCUGCCCGCAGGCCCUGAAAACCAGUGGCGGGCUCGCUAGUCACACCGAGCGCAGUAAUACAUCUCGCUUUGGGCGUGCGGCGGGUUCUUGCCGUUAAACACCCCCUUUUUACCAAGGUUGACCUCGGAUCAGGUAGGAAUACCCGCUGAACUUAAGCAUAUCAAUAAGCGGAGGA